CAGCACUUUCUACUGCAGUCCUCAGAGAAGCAUCAUGAUGGAGAAGAUCUUGUUGGGACUUUUGUUUCUUUUAGACUGGGUGUUCCUCUCCACCUGCCUCCUUCCCCAGUUCUAUUUUGUUAAUAAAUUGUUAAAUUGGACUGAAGCUCAGACCUACUGCAGACAGAAGCACGCAGACCUGGCCACCAUCCUAAACUCUGAGCAACAGAACCAACUAAUCAACACUCUUACAUCUGCUGGACACAGCUCUGACGUCUGGAUUGGUCUGUUCAGUGAAAUCCACUGGAAAUGGUCCGAUGGUUACACUGGGAGUGGAGCUGACUACAGAGACUGGCAUAUAAAUGAACCAUCAUGGUAUAACCUUAAUGACUUAUGUGUCGGAUCACACAACUAUGGGGAAUGGUUUGAUGCUCCCUGCACAGGAAAUCGUCAGUUUUUGUGUUACAAAGGCUCACACUUGGAUCCUGAAUUUGUUUAUGUGACUACUACAAUGUCCUGGUCCAAUGCACAGUCAUACUGCAGAAAUAACUUUGUUGAUCUGGCCACCAUAAAAAAUGACACAGAGCACCAACGAGUCCAGAGCCUAAUACCCGGUGGCCAAUAUCCAUGGAUUGGUCUAUAUAGAGAUGCAAAUCUUCACUGGUCUGAUGGGAGCAGCGUCCUCUUUACUAGCUGGGAUUCCUUUAGUAUUGUGAUUGGCUCCAGGAAAGUCAUAUGUGGUGCUACAUCUACUGGAAUAUCAGGAAGAUGGAAAAUUGUUCCCUGUGAAACAAGAUUACCAUUUGUCUGUUAUGGUCCUCCUGGUGAGUGUUUAAAAAUCAAAAGGAGAAAAAAAGAAGCUGCAUUACAUACCAAUCAUAUGAACUCAAAAUUUGUCCUGAUAUCUGGCACUUAGAUAUAGAUAUCCUUCUUUACUACUGUCUAAAACCUUUUGUAAACUUGG